rnacentral:tRNA from 1 species
GGGGUUGUAGCUCAGUGGUAGAGCACUCGCCUACCACGUGUGAGACUCUGGGUUCCAUCCCCAGCACUGCCA